rnacentral:lncRNA from 1 species
UGCAGAUAUAUUUGAAGUAGUGAUGGUAGUUGUAUAAUUGAUUAAGCAUUGAGAGAGAGAGAGAGAGAGAGAGAGAGAGAGAGAGAGAGAGAGAGAUGUCAAAGUCCACUUUUAUUAUGUGAUGUGAGCAUUCGAAGAAAACUGAAGGAGCGGGGGUCUAUUAUGCCUUCCCCUUUAAACGAGCGAAUGUAUUGAAGGUGAAAGACCACCACGAAAUGAACUGUAGACUUUCCCAUAACCCGACACACAAACCCUACCAACCUUCAAUUUCAAUUUCAUUCACUUCCACUUGCGCCCUUU